GACGAACGCUGGCGGCGUGCUUAACACAUGCAAGUCGAACGGAAAGGCCCUGCUUUUGUGGGGUGCUCGAGUGGCGAACGGGUGAGUAACACGUGAGUAACCUGCCCUUGACUUUGGGAUAACUUCAGGAAACUGGGGCUAAUACCGGAUAGGAGCUCCUGCUGCAUGGUGGGGGUUGGAAAGUUUCGGCGGUUGGGGAUGGACUCGCGGCUUAUCAGCUUGUUGGUGGGGUAGUGGCUUACCAAGGCUUUGACGGGUAGCCGGCCUGAGAGGGUGACCGGCCACAAUGGGACUGAGAUACGGCCCAGACUCCUACGGGAGGCAGCAGUGGGGAAUAUUGCACAAUGGGCGGAAGCCUGAUGCAGCAACGCCGCGUGCGGGAUAACGGCCUUCGGGUUGUAAACCGCUUUCGCCUGUGACGAAGCGUUAGUGACGGUAAUGGGUAAAGAAGCACCGGCUAACUACGUG
rnacentral:rRNA from 1 species